AGCGAACGCUGGCGGCGUGCCUAACACAUGCAAGUCGAACGUGAAAAGGGAAACCUGAGUAAAGUGGCGUACGGGUGAGUAACGCGUAGGUAAUCUACCCCAGAAUCUGGAAUAACCUGCCGAAAGGCGGGCUAAUACUGGAUAGAGCGAGGGAACUCGUAAGAGAGUUUUUCGGGAAAGGGAGCCCGCAAGGGCCUUCGUUCUGGGAUGAGCCUGCGUCUCAUUAGCUAGUUGGUAAGGUAACGGCUUACCAAGGCGAUGAUGAGUAGCUGGUCUGAGAGGAUGAUCAGCCACACUGGAACUGAAACACGGUCCAGACUCCUACGGGAGGCAGCAGUGGGGAAUCUUGCGCAAUAGACGAAAGUCUGACGCAGCCACGCCGCGGGAGUGAAGAAGGCCUUCGGGUUGUAAAGCUCUGUCGGAUGGGACGAACAUCUUCAUAGUGAAUAGCUAUGAGGACUGACGGUACCAUCAAAGGAAGCACCGGCUAACUCCGUG
rnacentral:rRNA from 1 species